AAAAUAACGACGACCGGCGAAACGCGGUGGAUUCGUCCCCAAAACAGAGCGUACGGUUAAUGUCGUGCAAUAUAUUUCUACGGACUUCGUGAUGUCUGGCGGAACGUGGUUGCUUACAUCGUCCCCAAAACAGAGCGUACGGUUAAUGUCGUGCAAUAUAUUUCUACGGACUUCGUAAUGUCUGAAAGAACGUAGAUACCGACAUAAAACUCAUCAUCCCGACUUUGCAUUAUUUCUUUGGAAAUCAUGAAUACCAGCACUCGGCGUUCUGUUCCGCAUUACUCCGAACGUGAUCGUCCGUGUAAUUCGUGGUGAAAAUCAGCCAACACCGGAAGACGGUUUAGCGUACAGCACUGUAGCAAGUCAACGGAAUAAUACGGCGGUACAAAAACGAACACGUCCGACUAUCCGAACACAACCGCACCGUGUGCGCCACUCCGGUGUCCAAAACAUGACACUCCUUGACGCCAAUGAUAUGCGUAACAUUUAUGUAACGCGAGGGAAAAUUUGACUCCGGCGACAAAAGUUUUUCAGCUCACGGGCCACCCGAAGGUUUUUUUUCUAAAAUUAUAUUGGUCGUGAAUAACAAAUAAAUGUACAUUACAUUUCUCCUCUACUGCCCUCUCAAGUUCUCACCUACAACAGCGGUCCACCCACGUGCGCGGUUGCCCGGCUAUUUAAAAUUUUUUCAUGAAUAAAUGGUUAGGUAAAUUAA